rnacentral:lncRNA from 1 species
CAUUUGAAUAUCUAAUUCUAUUUAUAUUCUUAUUUAAUUUUAGCAUUUAUUAACUUUUAAGAAGAAUAUAUGACCAUAUGAAUAUGUUAUUAAUUUGAUUUACUAUUAUUUAAUAAUAUCUUUGAUUCUGUAGUUAUAAAGCUUCAUUAUUCGAUUUAUAUCUAUAUUUAUAUUCAUACUUCCACUAUCUGAUUUAUAUCUGUAUCUAUUUAAAAUAAAUAUCCAUAUCCAUAUUUAUUAAAAAAAAAAGAUGUGGAUAUAGAUAGACAAUAUCCAAUCUAUAUCCAAAUAUUUGAUUUUAUUUAUAAUCCUAUUUAAUUUUAGCAUUGAUUAACUUUUAAGAAAAAUAUAUGAUCAUAUUAAUAUGUUAUUAAUUUGAUUUACUCUCCAUUUAAUAAUAUCUUUGAUUCUGUAGUUAUAAAGUUUUAUUAUUUGAGUUAUAUCCAUAUUUAUGUCUAUACUUUCUUUAUCUGAUUUAUAUCUGUAUCUAUUUAAAACAAAUAUUAAUAUCUAUAUCUAUAUUUGUUAAAAAAAUAAAUAUGGAUAUGGAUAGACAGUUAUUUGAUUUGUAUCUGAAUAUCUGAUUCUAUUUGUAAUCCUUUUUAAUUUUUGCAUUGAUUAACUUUUAAAAAAUAUAUAACCAUAU